AACCUUAUGGACCUGCGGGCGUAUACCUGCGGAAGGAUCAUUAUUGAAUUUUAAUGAAGAGUCUGGUUGUAGCUGGUCCAUUUAAUUGGGCAUGUGCACACCUUUCUCUUUCAUCCAUACACACCUGUGAACCUGUGAGACAGAUGGGGAAAUUUUUGCUUAUUUAUUUUUUGAAAUACAAAGAUAACUGAGUGAUUUGGACCCCUCUGUCUACUCAAUUCAAUAUAAACUCAAUUUAUU
rnacentral:misc_RNA from 1 species